GGGCUUAUGAUGAUAAUAUAAUUAUCUUAGCGGAUUUCAGUGAGAUAAACUUAUUUAUCAGUGAUCUGAUUGUUACACACACUGAGGCCU
rnacentral:snoRNA from 1 species